rnacentral:rRNA from 1 species
GUUGAACGCUGGCGGCAUGCCUUACACAUGCAAGUCGAACGGCAGCGGACCUUCGGGUGCCGGCGAGUGGCGAACGGGUGAGUAAUGCAUCGGAACGUACCUUUCAGUGGGGGAUAACGUAGCGAAAGUUACGCUAAUACCGCAUAUUCUGUGAGCAGGAAAGCAGGGGAUCGCAAGAACUUGCGCUGAUUGAGCGGCCGAUGUCAGAUUAGCUAGUUGGUGGGGUAAAGGCUCACCAAGGCGACGAUCUGUAGCGGGUCUGGGAGGAUGAUCCGCCACACUGGAACUGAGACACGGUCCAGACUCCUACGGGAGGCAGCAGUGGGGAAUUUUGGACAAUGGGGGCAACCCUGAUCCAGCCAUGCCGCGUGAGUGAAGAAGGCCUUCGGGUUGUAAAGCUCUUUCGGCCGGGAAGAAAUCGCACGGGCUAAUACCCUGUGUGGAUGACGGUACCGGAAUAAGAAGCACCGGCUAACUACGUGCCAGCCGCCGCGGUAA